rnacentral:rRNA from 1 species
UACGAAGGGGGCUAGCGUUGCUCGGAAUCACUGGGCGUAAAGGGUGCGUAGGCGGGUCUUUAAGUCAGAGGUGAAAUCCUGGAGCUCAACUCCAGAACUGCCUUUGAUACUGAAGAUCUUGAGUUCGGGAGAGGUGAGUGGAACUGCGAGUGUAGAGGUGAAAUUCGUAGAUAUUCGCAAGAACACCAGUGGCGAAGGCGGCUAUCUGGCCCGUAAUUGACGCUGAGGCGCGAAAGCGUGGGGAGCAAACAGG